UCGGAGCGUGUGGUUUAAUUCGAUGCAACACGAAGAACCUUACCAGGGCUUGACAUGUUGGAAGUAGUGAAACGAAAGUCGAACGAACUGUUAAAUCAGUAACCUUCACAGGUGCUGCAUGGCUGUCGUCAGCUCGUGCCGUGAGGUGUCGGGUUAAGUCCCAUAACGAGCGCAACCCCUGUUGCCAGUUAAUUUCUCUGGCGAGACUGCCCCGCAAAACGGGGAGGAAGGCGGGGAUGACGUCAAGUCAGUAUGGCCCUUAUGCCCUGGGCCACACACACGCUACAAUGGAUGGUACAGCAGGUUGCAAUGGAGCGAUCCGGAGCUAAUCCUUAAAACCAUCCUCAGUUCGGAUUGCAGGCUGAAAUUCGCCUGCAUGAAGUCGGAGUUGCUAGUAACCGCAUAA
rnacentral:rRNA from 1 species